CUACGUGCCAGCAGCCGCGGUAAUACGUAGGUGGCGAGCGUUGUCCGGAAUUAUUGGGCGUAAAGGGAGCGCAGGUGGGUAUAUAAGUCCAUCUUAAAAGUGCGGGGCUCAACCCCGUGAGGGGAUGGAAACUGUAGAUCUUGAGUGCAGGAGAGGAAAGCGGAAUUCCCAGUGUAGCGGUGAAAUGCGUAGAUAUUGGGAGGAACACCAGUGGCGAAGGCGGCUUUCUGGACUGUAACUGACACUGAGGCUCGAAAGCCAGGGUAGCGAACGGGAUUAGAUACCCCGGUAGUCCUGGCCGUAAACGAUGAAUGCUAGGUGUAGGAGGUAUCGACCCCUCCUGUGCCGGAGUUAACGCAAUAAGCAUUCCGCCUGGGGAGUACGGUCGCAAGACUGAAACUCAAAGGAAUUGACGGGGGCCCGCACAAGCGGUGGAGUAUGUGGUUUAAUUCGACGCAACGCGAAGAACCUUACCAGGGCUUGACAUUAAGUGAAAGAGCUAGAGAUAGCUUAUUUC
rnacentral:rRNA from 1 species